CAAGAAUUAAGUAUUCCCUCCGAUUAGAAACCAAUAGGACUUCUGCGAAAAAGGAAAAAAAAAAGAUAACAAAACCUAUUCCCUUUCGACAGUCUCCAGCCUACGAAAUCUCUAACAAAAUCGUGGCGGCUUGCGACAGUCUCCGGCGACCUUCUUCCCAAAUUCCAGGUAACUUUCUCCUCUUCCCCAGGUAAGUUUUGCGAAAUCUGUUGUCAAUCUUCUCCCUCUCUUCUGUCUUCCCCAAAUCUACAAAUUUUUGCGAAAUCUUCCCCAAAUUAGCUAAGAUUGAGAGCUUUGAAUUACAGACAUAAAUAUAUGGGAGUUCAAGGUAAAAAGAGUUUCGCCAUGACUGCUAAUAAGUCAAUAUUAGUACAUAAAUUACAUAGGUCAAUGGGUUGCAACUGGAAGGCGGUAUCUACUGUUUGGACUUUAGGGGCAUAAAACGAUUGAUGGUGAGUUGAAUUAAUCAUGCUUUUGACUUUCCUGUCUUGUUGUGAUGCCAUAUAGAUUCACUACUUCUAGUAUUAUGGCAAAUAGAUUUAUAUAGUUCUGAACUUUCUCCUAAAUCCGUUCUCUUCAUAAAAAUGGAUUCGAGUUAUACAUUAUUUUCCUUGUAAUAAGUUCAAAGAAGAAAACAUUACAAAUUUUGAUCUUCCCCAAAUCUGCUCGAUUUUGCUAAAUCGUUUGUGAUAUAUGGCUGUUGUUAGAUUGUAGUCGAUUGAUUGAAUUGAUUCCUCCUUUGUUCCUCUAUUGUUUUAUGAACUAGGGAAUUUGUCGCUCGUGCGGGGACUUAUUUUCUUUUGGAGAAUGCAGUCAUCAAUUUUACUUAAUUCAUAGGGCUCUAGACUCAACAUUUGAUGCAUAAAUUAUACUUGUUAAAAAAAUACAAUGGCCGUUGCUUGAGAUUAUAUUGUACACAAAUGCAUCCUGAGAUGUACGCUGAAUUUCAUUUUAGCAAUAUCAUCUGUAUUAAUGGAUAAAUUUUGAUUUGCUUCUUAUUUGCAAAAUUAUGCAAGAGAAAGCCUAAGUGAGUCUCCUAAGCCAUGGCAGUACCAGUACCCAUAUUAAGCUAUGGUUGAAAACAUAAUGGUGAGGAUGCUUCUUCUUUGAUAUCCUACACUGUAUCGUCCGUCUUCUUUUUUUCCUGUGUGAGGCUAAGUGCUUUCUUCCCUACUUGGUACUAUAAGCUAGACAUUAGUGGUCAAUACCACCAGUAUACUGUUUACCCAAUCGAGAGUAAACAGUUUGGAGGCAUUGAUUGGAAGCAUGCAGUCUUGUCUUGGAAAGUAGAUCUGGUUUAGCAUAUAUUCUUGCUAACACUAUAUAAACUUAAAAAGAUGCUCCCUGAUUUUAGAUACUCUCUCUUUUGCAAUAUGGUCGUAUAUUGGAUAUUGAGUUGAAGAUUCCACCUCGCCCUCCUAUUAUUAAUCACAGCAAUGUAUAUUUAGGAUUACAUUUAGUUGAGAUAGAAUAGAUAAUUUUUUAAGUAUAUAUGCUUGGUUUGAGUAUCUUUGUUAGGUACAACACAGAACAAACAAUACUAUCUAAGCUUAUUCUCCAUUGAACUAGCCACUCAAGACUCCAAAAAACUAUCGAUAAAGGCAGGUAUGUGAUUUACAAUUUGAAUAAAUAGAUAUAGUUGCUUCAAAAAAUCUGUCAAUAAAGGCAAACAAGUAAGUCAUUUGUUUCAUUAGAUGGAAAAUUUCACCAUUGAUAAUGAACAUCCGCAAGGCUUACUUGUUUUAUUAGAUGGUAAAAAUCACUAUUGAUAAUGCUCAUCCGCAAGGCCAUAUUACUUAUCAUGUAGGAAAGAUACAACUUAGUGGGUAAAUAAAAGAGUGAAAGAUAAAAAAUGAUUAAAGUAAAACGGAAGGUAAAUCUAAUGUUGUUCACUUUCUUCCUUACUCGUUGCUUUGGAGAUGACUUUGUCCUCUAUGAAUAAGCCUCUCUUGAUGGACAAUAACCAUUUUAUUCAUUUUCACUAGGAAACUAAAUUUUCUUUUGGGAGUAGUUACUCCAGAACCCCAUUUCCAUGAAUAACUUUACCAAAAAUAUUUUAGCGUAUUGUAUUGAAGCUUCAAUCUCCUUUUACCAUAGCUACUUCAUUUUAUGGCAGCUUCAUUUUGGAGGCUUUGACAUGCCAAAAAAUAGAUCUUUGGUUCUCAUCAUCUAUGUGAAUGAUAUUGAAUGGAUCCACAAUGUAUAUGAACAUCUUCACUGUUGGUUCUACUUUUUUUUUUGUUCUCUUUUUUAAUGCGUCUCUUCAUUGUUUUAGAAGAAAAAUGUGUUUUGCAUACUCAUUCCAGUGACAUUAUCACUCGGUUAUACUUUUGUACUUUUAAUAUAUAAACUAACUUAUAUUCCAUUUAGCUUUAGAACUAGUUAAAUUGAUGCUCAAUGAACAAAAGAGUUAUAAACAAAUUGGUAAAAAUAAAGUAUAUAUCUGGAGAUUCAACAAAUAGGAGUAGUAAGUUAUGAAAUUAAAAUAUAUGAUAUAUGGUUCUUUCUAUAAAUUAUAAUUUUAAUAAUUCUAUUCUUAAAAAGUUUAUGAACCAAUAUGUGAAAAUCUUAGAAGAAGUAUAAUUUAUAAGUUUAAUAAUUCUAUUCUUAAAAAGUUUAUGAACCAAUAUGUGAAAACCACAGAAGAAACUAGAGAUAGUUUAACUGUUUGAUUAUUUUAACUGUUAAAAUAAGCACUUUGUAGGACUAUACUGGGUAUGUUGUUGUUGUUUGAGCUAUGGAAUUACUCCAAAUGAGAAAACUCAUGCGCAAAUAUGCUUCUAAUGCAUCUAUGCCUCAAAUUAGCAAUGGCACCUCAGGUGAACAGAUCCUUGACGCCAACAGUGGACAUGAACGAGUACCACAAACAUCGAGGACACCUAGUGUUGCUGAAAAUGAUCAACCUUCUCACGCAAAAGCUUCAGUUCUCAGAUUUAAUUCUUGGGGCUGGCUUUGAGGCUGGGAAGAGGUAUCACCAGAUUUCAUCCUAACAGCUUGUGUGGGAAACUGGCUCGUUGUGCAUACCUCAGCUUCUCGAUCUUCAGAAGUGACUUCCUUAGGAUAAAAUGGAUCUCGAGAAACAAUUUUGUUCUGCUUCAAAACAACCAUCAAGAAGCUACCAUGAAGCUAUAAGAAUGGGAAGAAGAAAAGAAUACAAAGAUCUAGGAGGCAAGGACUGCACUAACCAGCUUGAUACACUCAUAAAUCCACUCACAAGUGACUGGUUGUAUUCCCCACUUACAUGCAACCUCAUAUUUAGGACCACUGAAGCAAAAACUCUGGAAUGCAGGGAAAGGAACUCGGCAUGGAAGUUGAGAAUAGAGGAUGUGACUACCAACAUCUAGCAAGCAUCCAUCCUUUAGAGAAACAAUAUUCGGUUUUCAUUAGCCUCAGUUUGAAUAAUGCCAGAAAUCAGUGAGUACAAAGAGAGGAGAAACUGCAGGGUUAUAUUAAUCCCUCUGCUACUUUUACAAUGAAUUACGCACAUAUUCUUAGCAUCUCAAGUUAAACAGAAAAGGACCAAUCAUCCUACCACUCCCCACCCUCAGGUUCAAAGGAGUAUCUGAAGGACUUAUGAGGUCAUACAUUUUGAUGUUCAAUAAUUCAGCGGGUGGAAGAUUUCAUAAUGAUGAAAAGUUACGAAAAUUGUUCGAAGACCAUCAUUCGUCUGGAUUAGUUAUAUAAUUACAUUAGCUAUAUAGUUCAAACAAUAUAAGUUUAGUUAUUGUGACAUCAAUAUUUUUGAUUAGUACUUCCUUUUAUUUGUUAAAAUUUAAUGAGAUAUAUUAUGUUUUUUUGAAUUAAUAUUAAUAUAUUUUCUUAUUUGGGUCA